UGCCCCUUCAUUCCGGAUAAUAGUUGGAAACGACUUGCAAUACGGGGGAGGCUCCAACCCAGGCAUCUGGGAUGGAACAAACGAGUUAAAUCGGUGUGGGGAUGAUCUCGCGGCUUAUCAGGUAGUUGGUGGGGUAACGGCCUACCAAGCCUACGACGAGUAGCUGGUCUGAGAGGAUGGUCAGCCACAUUGGAACUGAGACACUGUCCAGACUCCUACGGGAGGCUGCAGUCGAGAAUCUUGGUCAAUGCACGAAAGUGUGAACCAGCGACGCCGCGUGCAGGAUGAAGGCCCUCAGGGUCGUAAACUGCUUUUAUGGGGGAGAAAUAAAUGAUGUUACCCCAUGAAUAAGCCACGGCUAACUACGUGCCAGCAGCCGCGGUAAUACGUAGGUGGCAAGCGUUGUCCGGAUUUACUGGGCGUAAAGGGCAAGCAGGCGGACUGUUAAGUAGGAAGUG
rnacentral:rRNA from 1 species